AAUGAACGUUGGCGGCAUGGAUUAGGCAUGCAAGUCGAGCGAGAAGUGUAGCAAUACACGGAAAGCGGCGGAAGGGAGAGUAAUACGUGGGAAUCUGCCCUUAGACCUGGGAUAGCAGCGGGAAACUGCUGGUAAUACCAGAUAAUGUCUAUGGACCAAAGGUGUGAUUCCGUCUAGGGAUGAGCCCACGUCCUAUUAGCUAGUUGGUAGGGUAAUGGCCUACCAAGGCGAUGAUGGGUAGCGGGUGUGAGAGCAUGACCCGCCUCACUGGGACUGAGACACUGCCCAGACACCUACGGGUGGCUGCAGUCGAGAAUCUUCGGCAAUGGGCGCAAGCCUGACCGAGCGAUGCCGCGUGCGGGAUGAAGGCCUUCGGGUUGUAAACCGCUGUCGAGGGGGAGCAACUUCCAUAGAGUUAUCUUUAUGGAUUGAGUGAUCCCUGGAGGAAGGACGGGCUAAGUUCGUGCCAGCCGCCGCUGUAAUAC
rnacentral:rRNA from 1 species